rnacentral:misc_RNA from 1 species
AAGUCGUAACAAGGUUUCCGUAGGUGAACCUGCGGAAGGAUCAUUAACACGAACAACUAUCCAAUUAACACCAACCGUGAACUUUUCCCCUCCCUAGUCUGUGGUAAUAAUAAUAAUUAUUAUUACUAUUACUCAUACUAGGCUAAACUGUUUUACUUUAUUUUAACCCCACUAUUAUAACUAUUGUUUUGUUUACUCAGAACAACCAACUAAAAAAAAGAACAAGAUUUACUUGUUGUUUCUUUUUUUCUAUUACGUAAUAAUUAAUAGACUAUUAAAAACAACUCUUAGCAAUGGAUAUCUUGGUUCUC